GAGGAGUACUAAGAGUGGGCAUCCUUGUCUUGUUCCCAUUCUCAGAGGGAAUGCUUUCAACUUUUCCCCAUUCAGUAUUAUGUUGGCUGUGGGUUUGUCAUAGAUGGCUUUUGUUACAUUAAGACUGGAAAAGAAUGGCCCAGAUCCUCUGGACUCCUCAGAUGAGCGGAUUCAGAGAGAAGCUUUUGAGAGCGUGCUGGCGGAGACAUUUUUCACAAAAGAGCCCUUGCGGUGCUGGUGUCCGUGGCGUGCCUGGGAAGGCCCACCAACGCUGGCCGGCCUCCAAGCACCCGGGCCUCUGCUCAUGUACAGCUCCUGAACUGCCCUGCCUCUGAGUUACUGUGGAAAAUGAGCUUAUAUAUGAAGAAGUCAGCGAGUGGACAAAGCCAGGCGCAAUGGAUAGCAAAGAUGUGGAAGUCUCCUCGAUUCAAGUUACAAGAAAACCGCAGCAUGGAGUCUGCUCUCAGCUGUUGGGGAAUUACCGAUGCCUUUGACUAAGUCAAGACUGACUUUUCCAGAAUAUCACCCAAGAGAUAGAGCCGUCCCUGUCCAAGUUUGUGCGCUAGCCCUUCAUGGAGGUCAGAGAGGAAGAAACAAAGGCAGCUGUGGCCUCGGCGGUCACAGUGUCAGAACGCACAAGCCCCAUAAAGAGGUUUCACGCAGGCCACCCAUCCCUUUUCAUUCUCCAGCAGAACAGGACAGAGAGCGUUCUGUUCUGCGGAAGGUCUUCCACUCUACAAGGCAAUCCCUCCAGCUGCUUUGCUGUAUUGUGCUGUCUCCUGUCACACUAUGAAUGCAGUGACCUCAGCCAGCAACAGGGAGAACCCCCCUGCCUCCCGAACAAAGGACCUCACGUGAAAUCCUGAGCUCAGAGCUUACAGAUAUGUGUGCGCUUUCACUUUACAUCGGCCGUGACUUCCAAACAACUUCAGGAAACUUUAGGAUCUCUGAGGUAUACUGGAGAUGACAGCAGCGUAGAAUGUUCAUUUGGAUUUAGAACAGAAAUGCUUAUUUUAUAUUUGGCUGCUCCCAAACUGUCCCCAGACUUCCUCUCCAGUGGUUACCCUCCACUGCCCUGGAUGUCCCACGUUUACACUCCACACUCACACCUCCACCUUAACAAAGUCCUCCACUGGGUCAAACCAUACAUCGCUUCGUCUCUGUAGUGAUGACUUCCUGUCCUCUGCUCUGUGGAUAAAGACCCCAGAUAAAGAUGCCUGUGUUGCUCAACUCUUGUAAAUACUCUUGAGACAUUUUGAAAGCAGAAGGAAAGGAGACAGACGGGGAAAAUAAAAGGGAUGGUCUGCUUGUGCGGAAACGUUUUGAGAAUGCCCUUCCCUAAGAGAGAACAGUAAAAGUGAGCAAUACUUCCUGA
rnacentral:lncRNA from 1 species